rnacentral:lncRNA from 1 species
CUCAGAUUCAAACAUGAGUAAUCUUGCCUGAAGCCUUUUGCAAAAGCUGCCUUUUCCUCUUUUUUUCUUUUUUUUUUUUAAUUUUAUCUUGGAUAUGUUCCUCUAUCUGCAUAAUACAGAUAGAAUAAUAUGCCAGAGAAGCAUGUUGUUCAUGUUUGCAAAAAUAUUUGGUGGUUGACAAAUGAGCUUGAUGUACUGUGCUGUUGUACUGACUUGACACUAAUCUCUGCCACUUAGAGCAAAUGAGAAUAAAUCACCUCUCCUCUCUUAUCUUCUCCACCCCGAGUUGUGUGUGCACUUGCAGCUCAAGCUGGCUCAAGGUUUAUUUCAAUCCAUGCUUCCCCACCAAUCCUGUCCUGCCAGUUCAGUUUGGGUUGGGAAAAGCUCAGGAGCAGCCCUGGAGUUGGCACUCGCACUGAACCACUGGGCCACUGCGUUCAGGUUUCAGACAUGCAGGUAGGAGAUGACAAGGGAAAAAGGACAGUGAUCUCAGCAGCUAAAAACACCUGGAAAAAAAAGGGAUUGAUUUCAAAGUCUGUCCCCAUAAACGGGAUAUAAUUUACAGGCCUGGUAAAAGGGUGCUGGGAAUCAAGUGAAAUAAAACCACGCUUGCUCAGCCGUCGAACUGCAGAAAUGGGAGCUGAAAUAUUAAUUGCAGAGCUUUACAUUAAAACUGUCAUGUUUGUGAGCAUGGAAUUCAGCAAGGUAUGUCCAGUGGGCUCAGCUUUGGGAUUGCUCCCUUAUCCUCACUGUCAGUCUGAAUCUCAGCUCUCCAGUUUAGGAGUUUAAGUGGAGCUGUGAACUCUCUGGCCAUUCUCAGCCCUUCUGUGUUUAACAGGGGGUUCUCUCUCUUCUGCCAUCUAUAAACCAAGUCAUAAUUGCCCAAAUAUUUACAGUGGUGUUUAUUUCUGGCAGUGAUUUGGUGUUUGUCAUUCACAUUAUGACUGCGAAGCAAUACUUCUGUGCAGUUGAGGUAUUUCAAAUUAUUUGCCUACUGAAGAAGCAAACGUUUCAUUUCUUUCAGAUUGUCACUGCUGCUUAUUAUGUGAGCAAGGACCUAAUUAUGAUUUCACAAUUUGUUUACUGUAUGCUCAGGAGUCAGAAGGUAACAAAAUAGGGAUCCAAAAAUAGAGUGUACAAAUCCUGGAGUUCUGAGACCUGUAGCCUCCAGUUUUCCCUUCCUUCUCAUUUCUGACCCACACACAUCUGUGAAUAUUUUCUAUGGAGUACUUUCAGUUGAUAUAGACAUAAAAAAUGCAAUAGGCAUUUGGGAUCUGGUUCCAUAUUUUAACUGAUUCCAUGGUUUUUGUGGAAAUAUGUGGGAGUUGAAACCAAGCCUCAUUUCUUUGUGGGGUUCAGUUGGUUUCCUCCCCGUUGAUUGAAAGUGGGCUUUAUUUGCUUAUAGCAUAAAAUAUGUUGACAUCUUCAUGUGUUCUGUU